CCGCAUCGUCACGGGCCUCAUCGAGAAGUACGUACGCAUGCAUUGCAUUGCGCGCGCUCUGUACGUAACCAUGGGCGGCGGGAACAAAGAGAUAACCAUGAUCGUUGGUUUCGUUUGGUUUGAUUUGGUUUGCAGGGCUACCGGCAAGAGCGCCCGUCUGGACCUGGAGCAAGAGGAGAAAGUUCUUUAGCCAUUUUCCUCCCGUUUGCGGUUAACAAGAAGAUGCGAUCGCGCAUCGCCGGCAUGCUGUUUGACUGAAUGUCGUAAUGUACUUCUGCCAAAAAUGAUAUGUUCUNNNNNNNNNNCCCUUCCGUUUGCGGUUAACAAGAAGAUGCGAUCGGGCAUCGUCGACAUGUUGUUUGACUGAAUGUCGUAAUGUACUUCUGCCAAAAAUGAUAUGUUCUUUUCCUGUUGUUCACAAUAUUCACAAAGACUGUUUUUCUCCAUUUUGCAACCUGUUUAGAACAGCUAGAGAAAACAAUCUAGCUAUAUAUAUGUAAGUCGCCUGAUUUCUAAAUGUGGGUAAGUC
rnacentral:lncRNA from 1 species